ACCACAAGUCUCCAGGGCUUUGCUUUAGGAAGGCUCAGGCUGAUAUUACUCAUGCUUUUCUUUUCUUUUUUUUUUUUCCCCAAAGCCCAGACUCGGAGAUGUUUCACUUUGUGUAAGAUGCAUCAAGCCUACCAGUCCGUUUUACCUUGUAGCAGUAAAUAUCUUCAGCUAAAAUGGGACAAAGCAAAGUACGAAGAGCACAGGAAAAGGAAAUCGUGGCAUUGCUGCAAUCCCUGCAGAAGCCCAGCCAGAGAGCUCUCUCUAAAUCCUCCCACUCUACUCCCCAUUGCCACCAUUUACUCCACAUGGUUUCUUCAGCUCAAGACAACUCAAAGCUUAUUCCUCCUCCCCAGAUCCAGGCAGCAAAACCCUCAGUGGACACAAGUGCCCAUGCAGCAUACAGCCACCCUCAUCUGAAGUUGGGGAAGUUGAAAGUGUUGUAUCGGGUGUUUCACUUCGCACUAUCAGGCUUACCUUCAUUAUCUCCUCUCAAGGAAAACAAAGAGACUACCAGAUGGCCAAAAAUUUCAUUAUUUUCUCCCUACCAGGGACUGCUGUGACAGGGCUAUCAGGAACCGUGGGUAGCAUCCUCCCAGCUAUACAUUAUUUUACUUUUUUUUACUACCAAUUGAAUCAAACUGCUUCAGAUUGACAAGCAAUAAAGCAUUCGAGUAUCCUUUUAAAAGGUACUUCUGCACAAGCAUGGGAAAAAAUGACAAGUUUUUUUUUUCGUGUGACAGGAAUAACACAAUCACCAAGAUGCACAUGGAGCAAUGAGCUGAAUAAUAGGAUGUUAACAGAUUCAAGGCGCAAGUAACAACAAUGGGUAGCCUUGACUGGCAGUUAUCCUUCAAAAUCUUACCGCUCCCAAGAGGUAAAUUCUUAUUAAAGGAUGAGAGUGGAAAAUCAGUUGUUACCUAAUUAACUGCUCGUGAGAAGGAAACAACCACAAUUUAAACAAAUAGUUUAAGGAAAAGGAAAAAAAGCACAGUGAAAAAUAUGAGCAGCUAAACCCUCUUAAAGACUCGAUUUAUAACACGGUGCCCCUCGGGCAGUGGGAGCAUUGCCCAUAUAAGGACUUCAGCAUUAAUUUCCUUAAGAUUGUUUAUCAUCACACCACGUGACACAGUAAUCCCCAGGCGCUCUAAAAUCAUUUCACUAUCAAAACAAUCCGUUUCUUCCCCGUGCAUAAAAUCAUGCGCUAUAUUAGGAUGCGGAUUCAAUUGCUGUUGUUAUGUUUUUCUAUCACUGUAAAAAUAGCACUGAUAAAAUUCCUCUGAAAAUGGAAAACUGCUACAUGUUAACAUGGAAAUGGAAAGCCCCCUACAUGUUAACAAAAGUAAACCAAACCAAACAGGAAUCUGCUAACUCUUCAACUAGUUCCUUUGAACUACAGGUCCCAUCACCUGGAAGUGAGACUAUGGUCCUAAUCUCUUCCUCAUCCUACUUCUUAUCAGUGUGCUCCAGAAAGAAAGAAAUCACCUCCAAAGGCUCUUCUUUACAGUCAUUCUCCGCAGGUUAGUUCAGAGUCUGAAGGUAUUACUCAGUGCACCAGUAUUUCGGUACACUUAUACUACAGCGUGGCCAGUAUCUCACCUGCUUUGGUUACAAACCCUCACAAACAAGGCAGGUGCAGUAGAUGCCCUGCAGUAACCUCCAGCUCCCACUUCUGACACUGUUUUACCCGUUAUAGUUAAUUACAAGAAUAUUUGAGAUUAUUAACAGUGUCCAUUUUAAAACUAAAGUGAAAAAGCCUAAUCAAGGAAAUCCUUCUAAUGAUGAACAGAACUAGCUUGUACUGCCUCAUACAUCUCUUUACAGUUGUUCCUAACACCCAAUGGUUGCUUCUCUUCCUAUGUUAACCUGCAGCCCCUCCAGGACAAAAAUGGGCUGCAACUGGGCUGAAUCCAGGCCUCACUUAAGUCAAUGGAAAAAUUACAAUUUGAUCCAAAGCCCACCAAAGACAACAGAAGAACUCUCACUGACUUCAGGGGAGCCUGGAUAAGUCCCAUCACUUGUCUGUACAGCGAUCAUCACAAUCCCACAUUCUGAUGAGUCUGUGAACGCUGCUAUAGGCACAAAGAAUAAUGAUGAACUUAGAAUAUACGUUGACAAAUAUUUACAGAAAUUCUGCUUAUACUUAUGAAAUGCAUUGGCUGUGACUACAGGGAGGCAGUUUAGGGUCAAAUUCACUGCACUGCAAAGUGUUUGCUCUCAGUGAGUCACCAGUAUAAUGGUGAAAGAAAGGCUCUCUCACCAGUAGCACAGAGUUUGAUCUAACCACUGUCUGUCACGCUCUGUGUAAAGGUGAUGGGGUGAACACCGUUAGGUACACACAAUACAUCACUGCUGUUCAUUGUGGUCUUGUAAAAACAGAAGUAUUUCUGUAUUCCUUCUGUACACAAGGUUGAAGGAAGAUCGACUUUCAGUCAUCAGAAGAGACAACCGCUCACUGCUGGAGGUGUCCUGCAUCAUGAGGACAAAAGGACAAAUGGACAACAGAAAUGACUAUGAGGCAAAACAGUAACAUCAGCAGCACUAUUUCUAUCUAAUGAUCAAGUUACCUUCCCAGUGACAAGUGUAGAUAAGACAACCUGCCUUGUGAGGACACAUAUUUUUAAAAGGCAGCCUUAGGUAUAAUCAGCAAUUCAACAAGCCAUUUGCUUGCCCUGUCACACAAAAUCCAAUGCCUUUAAAUUAGUUUCUCAAUUUAACAAGUAAGGGAGAGGAAAGGAAGGGAAAGGAAAGGAAA